GAUGAACGCUAGCGGCAGGCCUAAUACAUGCAAGUCGAACGGGUGGUCGCAAGACCACUAGUGGCGCACGGGUGCGUAACGCGUAACCGACCUGCCCCGAUCUGGGGGAUAGCCCGCCGAAAGGCGGAUUAAUACCGCAUAUACCCGCAGCCUGGCAUCAGGCAACGGGGAAAGAUUUAUUGGAUCGGGAUGGGGUUGCGUGACAUUAGCUAGUUGGCGGGGUAAGGGCCCACCAAGGCGACGAUGUCUAGGGGACCUGAGAGGGUGAUCCCCCACACUGGCACUGAGAUACGGGCCAGACUCCUACGGGAGGCAGCAGUAGGGAAUGUUGGGCAAUGGGCGAGAGCCUGACCCAGCCAUGCCGCGUGCCGGAUGAAGGCCUUCUGGGUUGUAAACGGCUUUUCUCAGGGAAGAAAAAGACCUUGCGAGGUACACUGACGGUACCUGAGGAAUAAGCACCGGCUAACUCCGUG
rnacentral:rRNA from 1 species